GGAGAGGUGCCAGAGUGGCCGAUUGGGUCUGUCUCGAAAACAGAUGUACCUGCAAGGGUACCGUGGGUUCGAAUCCCACCUUCUCCG
rnacentral:tRNA from 1 species